UCGAGGAUCUUCGGCAAUGGACGCAAGUCUGACCGAGCGACGCCGCGUGUGCGAUGAAGGCCUUCGGGUUGUAAAGCACUGUCGAGAGGGAACAAGCCGCAAGGUUGAGUGACCUCUGGAGGAAGGACGGGCUAAGUUCGUGCCAGCAGCCGCGGUAAGACGAACCGUCCAAACGUUAUUCGGAAUCACUGGGCUUAAAGGGCGCGUAGGCGGGCGAUCAAGUCAGGGGUGAAAUCCUCCAGCUCAACUGGAGAAGUGCCUUUGAUACUGGUUGUCUAGAGUGAGGUAGGGGCAUGUGGAACUUCCAGUGGAGCGGUGAAAUGCGUAGAUAUUGGAAGGAACACCAGUGGCGAAAGCGAUGUGCUGGAUCUCAACUGACGCUGAGGCGCGAAAGCUAGGG
rnacentral:rRNA from 1 species